rnacentral:rRNA from 1 species
UACGAAGGGGGCUAGAGUUGUUCGGAAACACUGGGCGUAAAGCGCACGCAGGCGGAUCGAUAAGUCGGGAGUGAAAGCCCGGGGCUCAACCUCGGAAUUGCCUUCGAUACUGUCGGUCUCGAGUCCGGGAGAGGUGAGUGGAAUUCCUGGUGUAGAGGUGAAAUUCGUAGAUAUUAGGGAGAACACCAGUGGCGAAGGCGGCUCACUGGCCCGGUACUGUCGCUCAGGUGCGAAAGCGUGGGGAGCAAAUAGG